rnacentral:rRNA from 1 species
CCUACGGGGGGCUGCAGUGGGGAAUUUUCCGCAAUGGGCGAAAGCCUGACGGAGCAACGCCGCGUGAGGGAGGAAGGCUCUUGGGUUGUAAACCUCUUUUCUCAAGGAAGAAGAAAGUGACGGUACUUGAGGAAUCAGCCUCGGCUAACUCCGUGCCAGCAGCCGCGGUAAUACGGAGGAGGCAAGCGUUAUCCGGAAUUAUUGGGCGUAAAGAGUCCGUAGGUGGCCUUUCAAGUCUGCUGUCAAAGCGUGGAGCUUAACUCCAUAAAGGCAGU